UUCACUCUGAGUAAAAGUAGGUGUGUUUUAGAAGCAUUUGUAUACAAGAAGGAUCAACCCUGAGUACUUUAGCAGAACUCACUCUCAUCCUCUCUGAAGAAUACCUGGAGGUUAGCAAAACUCAACACCUGCAGACCCUGAACUACAGGGGACAGAAACAAGGCAGACUGACACCACAGAGGAACCAGCAGUGACGAUCAUGAUGGACCUGUUAUUGACCCUGCGCCUCCUCAUUGCUGGAGUUGUGUUGCUUUUGUUGCUUUUAUUACUCUGGCAGAAAAUCAUCACUGACAGACUUACUCAAAGUAGGAAAUCAAGUUUCAGAUGUAAUGAUGCCAGCGUCAGAAGAUCCAAAGAUAUCAGGAGCGUUAACACUAACCGUCACUUCGGUUUUCAUUUCGACAAACUCACUGGAAACGACUCUGCUGGUCGUGGUUGAUAUCAAACUGUGGCUGCAUUGGCUCAACAUCCUGCUACUCAGAGUAAAUUAGGUUAGCUACAGAGUUUUAUCAGUUAGUUAAAGGUAAAAGUAAAAAUAUGCACCAAGAACAGAACCAAUAAAAUGAUGCAAUGAUGCCGCAGUUCAGUAUGAAACCAGAAAGAGGAAUUUGGAAAUGAGGUCAAAUUUGUUUUCAACCAGUUUAGUUUGCACUAUCAUAUUCUGCAGAUUCUUCCCACAAUAACAGCAAAAUUAUAGAAGUUUGCAGUGGCUGAAAAUGUAGGAGCACAGCGCUACCUUUAGUUUGACCUUCAGUUUAGCCAACGGUUAGCUCUUGAGAAAACGGGAUAUUUAGCGUAGCAGCUCAGUGGAAAGCUGUGGAAGGAAUCAUGCAAUAAAGCCAAAACAUUAGCAUGGCUGUUACAAGAGGUGAAUCUUCCAGUCACCCAAACUGUAGUAACUUUAUUAAACGUCUGAAUGUAUUUUAUUUCUUAUUCUCAUGCUUCUUUUUUACAGUUUCUGGAAUUUAAUUUGUAGCGUUUUUAUGUUUCAUUUUACUUCCAUGCAGAUAUUAAUAUUGCAACUUAUUGUGUUGGUGUCAACAAAAAGUUUAAUGCAGUAAUAAAAUGUUUGUUUUUAUUUUAGACAUUACAUUGUUUUUGCACUGCUGUACUGUGCUAUCAUUGGUUGUUUUCCCAAGUCAACAGUACUUUUGCUUAAAUUAUGGAUUCAUGUAGUAAAACAGAAGCACAUUGGGUGAUUU